rnacentral:lncRNA from 1 species
UGCUGGUAGCAAGAGCUAUCUGCCUGUUCUGUGUCUGGAGCAAUAUAAAUGUUGGGUAGAUGCGUUUAAAUAUCUACAGUCAAGUUAUAUUGCUAGACACCCAUUGAGUAUUUGUAUAUCAUGUGUUUGGGAAUGGGAUAUAGAAAUAGUAAUUUCUUAAUUUAAAAAAAUUAGCCACAAUCUGUCUUUUAAAAAUACACGUGUGGGCUCAAUACAUGGUUAAGAGCAGACAGUUUAUUAUUGUAUCAUCAAUAUGAAUAGGCUCCACAAUCAAGGUUCUUUCUCCACCCUUCCCCACAUACUACUCUAGCCGACCCAAACCUUCUUGACAUUCAUAGAACAUUUACUGCAUCUAUCCAUUUCAGUUCUUUUAGUUUAUAGAUGUUUUUAUUUCUGCACGAGGGAUGCCAUUAACCUCCACACCUAUCCUUCACUUACCCAGAGACAACCCUUCAUUUAUCCACUCUGCUGCAGUCCUGCCCAUUAUUCAAAGCCCAGCUCAACUCCCAUCUCUUCUGCCAGAUCUUCUCAGAUCCUUCCAGGUAGAAU